rnacentral:tRNA from 1 species
CGGGAUAUGGCGCAGUUUGGUAGCGCACUCGCUUUGGGAGCGAGGGGUCGUGGGUUCAAAUCCCGCUAUCCCGACCA